rnacentral:lncRNA from 1 species
AAUGUGUGCAUGUCCCAUCCGCACGGGGAGUGAAGCUUGGUCUAUGCGCACAUCCCAUCUUGUACAGACGGGCGUCAUUCGCGCACAUCUCCUAAUGCGAAGAAGGGGACAGCUCUGCCCGCCCUAUGUGUGAGCUGUCCGCACAGUAGGCCUGCGCGGUACUCCUGCGUUUAUGGGCAUGCGAAUAAUAAGCCUGCGUGUAGUGCCCUGUGCAUUGUAGGUCCUGCGCGCGGCAAGCU